rnacentral:rRNA from 1 species
UACGAAGGGGGCUAGCGUUGCUCGGAAUCACUGGGCGUAAAGCGCACGUAGGCGGCUUCUUAAGUCAGGUGUGAAAUCCUGGAGCUCAACUCGAGAACUGCCUUUGAUACUGAGGAGCUUGAGUCCGGGAGAGGUGAGUGGAACUCCGAGUGUAGAGGUGAAAUUCGUAGAUAUUCGGAAGAACACCAGUGGCGAAGGCGGCACACUGGCCCGGUACUGACGCUGAGGUGCGAAAGCGUGGGGAGCAAACAGG